UUUAUAGAGGGCAUCUGUCGGUUGCAUUUGAAUUAUUUAAAACAUUUUCUUACAUGGCCAAUUUAGUAACAGCAAGCAAAACCAAAAUGAGCAAAGGAGAGGAUCCCAAUAAUCCCAGAUCUAUAAAGCGGAUUUCUCAAGGGGGUAGAGAUAACCACCUAGCUAUUGCUAAAUGUGAUCUCACUCAGUUGAAAAAGAAACAAUCAGAAGUGAGCAAUGGGAGCCGUGAAACCAUCUCAAUGAAGACUUGUUGCCAACAUGGAGAUAGAGGAUAUUGGUCUACAGGGUACUAUUGGAGAGGGGGUCCUGAUGACAACUUAAUUGAAGGUGGAGGAACAAAAUUUGUCUGCAAACCUGGAGCCAGAAACAUUACCGUCAUAUUCCACCCAUUACUAAGAUUUAUUCAGGAGAUUGAGCAUGCUCUGGGUCUUGGCCCAGCCAAACAGUGUCCUCUUCGAGAGUUUCUCACCGUGUACAUCAAAAACAUCUUUCUCAAUCAAGUCUUGGCUGAGAUCAACAAGGAGAUUGAAGGAGUCACUAAAACAUCUGACCCUUUGAAGAUUCUGGCCAACGCAGACACCAUGAAGGUGCUGGGAGUGCAGCGGCCUCUCCUACAGAGCACAAUCAUUGUGGAGAAGACAGUUCAAGACCUCCUGAACCUGAUGCAUGACUUGAGUGCAUAUUCAGAUCAAUUCCUCAACAUGGUGUGUGUGAAGCUCCAGGAGUACAAGGACACCUGCACUGCAGCUUACAGG
rnacentral:sRNA from 1 species